UACGAAGGGGGCUAGCGUUGUUCGGAAUUACUGGGCGUAAAGCGCGCGCAGGCGGUCUUCCAAGUCAGUGGUGAAAGCCCGGAGCUCAACUCCGGAACUGCCAUUGAAACUGUAAGACUUGAGGACGAGAGAGGUGAGUGGAAUUCCCAGUGUAGAGGUGAAAUUCGUAGAUAUUGGGAAGAACACCGGUGGCGAAGGCGGCUCACUGGCUCGUAUCUGACGCUCAGGCGCGACAGCGUGGGGAGCAAACAGG
rnacentral:rRNA from 1 species